CAAGUUGACAGUGGCGGACAGGCCCAGUCGCGAGCUCCACAUGAGAUGGAUGUCCCAGCCACUUUCAACCACCAAUAGGUGGCGACAAUAACUUGACCAGUUAGGAUCCAGUUUGCCAAUCAUUGGUGAGUUCUCGUCGAGGAGGAGGCAAUGACAAGAGGAGCGGAGCCGUGACUGACUGACGGUCUUCUGUGACCCGACCAUCGAAGUAGCUACGCCUGUUGACAAUCUGGGAACAUGGAUAUAUCCCUCUCCGUGGAUCAGAAUGCGAUGGAAGAAGGACAGAUAAUGCGGAAAAGCUUUCUAGGCAGGCAGAGCAGGGCAUGAAAUGAACGACUCGAACGACUUGAACAGCUCACAUGCUGACAGAACCAGCUCAUUGAACCAGUAGCAAGUAUGACAGCAUAUUAGUGUUUAUUUUAUUUUAUGUAUUUAUUUAUUUUGGUGAAGAAGAAAUGGUUUUGUCUGUAUUUCACCACCGGUUUCCAUAUUUGCAUGAACUAAUUCUAUCAACCGAUUAAAGAGAUCAGUCAGAAUUUAGAUUUCAAGAUGACGGUGGAGGGUUCCACAAUAAAGAGUCGGAUCAAAAAUCUGCUUCGCUCGCCAUCUAUAAAAUUGAGAAGGAAUAAAGCUCUGAACAACAAAGAAAAUCUCAGUAACAAGGUGACACUGGAGAAGGUGCUAGGGAUCACAGCAUUUGGGAACCGUGCUUUGGCCUGCGACCCUCGCUCUGGACUAGUGGCCUACCCAGCUGGCUACUUGAAUGAAUGAAAAAGCAUUUUUGGAAAAUGUGAAGCAUAUCAGUGGCACCCAUGUGUGAUCUGUCAUUACAGAACUGACUGGAUAGACAGAGGCAGAGCACCAUCGAGUCAGUUCAGAACUGACUAGGUAGACAGAGGCAGAGCACCAUUAGGUUUUGAAUUUAAUACAUUUCAGAACUCCCUAGACGGUAAGAUGAUUCAGAGAGUGAGUAGAGCGCGAAAGCUGGAGAGAUGGAGGAGGAAAGUCAUUUCUCAGCAGUGAUAAGGACCUGUGUGUAUUGUAUUCAUCAGGGGAAAGAUAUCUUGCGGUAUAUGAACACAGAAGAGCUGUGUCACGAGGAGCCGUUUUGGUCUAGGUCAACACUUUCUGGGAAAGUCCUUGCUACAAGGUUUGAGAGGCGGUAUGUAGUAUGCCGUGCAAGGCACUGGUUUACCUGGGAUUUUAGCCAUGGUUUAAGUUUUAGGUAGACAGCUUGAUGCUUUCCUUGUACUACUACAGUCACACUGUUAUACCACUUCAAUAACAUGUAAUGUCAUUUUCUUCCUAAGGAGUUACAUCUUUAGAGAUGAUAGGGCCUAAGUUGCAUUAGCUAGACCUUUAACUCAGUUUUCAGUGUCCCCACACGAGGUUUCUCUGCAAUACUACAGAUCUAGUAAUUGGCAACUACAUUGCAGAGCAGGCAUAUGUUCAGCCAACUACCAACAACGGAUAUUGC